UUGAGGUCAAUGUUCUGAUUUGAGAUAACCCUAAGUUUGCAACAGUAGAAGAAUUUAUCAAUGAUUUGAAGAAGAAUUUAUCAAUGCUUUGAAGAACAAAGCAACCGUGCUAUGCAGAUAAAAUGUAAGAAUGUAAUGCUAAUUCUGGAUGAGCCCUAGUUUAUGAUGCUACAUAUUAAAAUUUUAUGGGUUCUGUAGGAAGGGCCAAUUACAGGAAUAUAAGUUGAAGGAAGAAUCAAGAAAAGUUUAGCCCUUAGCAGAAAAGGAAAUGGAUCCCUUAACCUAUUCAGUUUCUCAACUUGAAUUUGGGUGGUUCCUAUAGAAGAGAGGGUAAUAAUGGGGUAGGUGAAGCAAUCAGAGAUCCUUCAGCCAGGGUUAUCAAAGCUUAAACUAGUCAAUAAUGCUUGAUGCAAAAUGAUGGCUGCAGAGUAACUCAUAGAAAAGAGAUCAAUAUAUAUGUAAUAUAUUGGCCAAAAUUGACUUUAAGAUAAUAAAAUCAAUUAUUUAUGGUCACAAAGCAUGGCUUUGAAAACUUUAGGCAUUGAAUGGCAUAUAAUAGGCCAUUGGGUUGGUCGAAGGAGGAACAGGCUUAUAUAUGAAUUUUGCAAGGGCAGACACAAUAUGCUUGCACAGUAAGUUGUUUGGUCACCAAAGCUGAUUACCAAACUGUAACCAUAAAUACUUGCACAUCUCACAUUUAGUGGUUCUUGUUGACUGACCGAGUGACUGCAAAAGCUUAAGUUGACAUGGAAAUGGUCAAUAAUGUAUAUUCCUCUUAGCAACCCUCCAUGCCCCCCCCCCCUCCCAAAAAAACAAAAAUAUCCACAGGCCUGGACCAUGCAUGAGGAGCGUUCAAUGCUGAUCACCUAAAUCAAUUUGGCAAACUACACAAGAAGCACACAUAAGGUGGGUUGUUGAAUUAAUCAUUCCCAAACAGUCAAGGAUAGAAACUUUUGUACUUAC
rnacentral:lncRNA from 1 species